CUCCUCGCACUACAUGACCAUUCCUGAACUCAAAUGAAAUUAAGUUUAUUUACAAAUAAGCUUCCUCUAGAGUCAAAGGGGGCCUCCCCCAUUACACAUGGACAUCUCCCUCUUUGCUCCAAAAGAAACAUAUACAAACUUCUUCCCUCUUCACCAACAAAGAGGCAAUGAUCAGCAGUCACCACCUCUAGACAUGCAAAGCAACAACCACAGCAGCUACAACAACAACAGCAGCAACAAUCAUCCCCAGAAUAGCCAUACCUCGACGAGCCGGUCAUCGGAUUCCGGUGAGCCUUGUGGAUCUACAGGUAACAAAUGGGCAUCAAAGCUUCUUAGGGAGUGUGCUAGAGCCAUCUCUGACAAGGAUUCAAGCAAAAUCCAUCAACUUCUUUGGAUGUUAAAUGAGCUUGCUUCCCCUUAUGGAGAUUGUGAUCAGAAAUUGGCAUCUUAUUUCUUGCAAGCACUUUUUUGUAAGGCCACGGAGUCCGGCCACCGAUGCUUCAAAACCCUAACUUCAGUAGCUGAAAAGAGCCACUCCUUUGAUUCUGCUAGGAAGUUGAUACUAAAAUUCCAAGAGGUAAGCCCUUGGACAACUUUUGGUCAUGUUGCUUCUAAUGGUGCAAUCUUAGAGGCCUUAGAAGGUGAAACCAAACUUCACAUAAUUGAUAUUAGCAAUACCCUUUGCACCCAAUGGCCCACUUUGCUUGAAGCGUUAGCCACAAGAAACGACGAGACCCCCCAUUUAAAGCUCACUGUUGUUGUUACUGCUAGCAUCGUAAGAUCAGUCAUGAAGGAAAUAGGCCAAAGAAUGGAGAAGUUUGCUAGGUUAAUGGGUGUCCCCUUCGAGAUCAAUGUAAUAAGUGGGCUAAACAACUUAUCAGAGCUCACUAAGGAAGGAUUAGGUGUUCAAGAAGAUGAAGCUAUAGCGAUCAAUUGCAUCGGAGCAUUGAGAAUAGUUGAAGUAGAAGAAAGAAGUGCUGUGAUCCGAAUGUUGCAAUCGCUUAACCCUCGGGUUGUGACAGUAGUUGAAGAAGAAGCUGAUUUUACUAGCUCAAGAUAUGAGUUCGUCAAGUGCUUUGAAGAGUGCCUUAGGUAUUAUACUCUAUAUUUUGAGAUGCUAGAAGACAGCUUUGCCCCAACUAGCAAUGAAAGAUUGAUGUUGGAGAGGGAGUGCUCAAGAAGCAUAGUUAGGGUUUUGGCUUGUGACUGUGAAGAAAAUGGUGGUGAUGGAGGAGAAGGAGAGUGUGAGAGAAGGGAAAGAGGAAAUCAGUGGUGUGAGAGACUCCGGGAGGCGUUUACACCGGUUGGAUUCAGCGAUGAUGUUGUGGAUGAUGUCAAGGCAUUGCUUAAAAGAUACAGAGCUGGGUGGUCACUUAUGCAGCCUCCUCAAGGAGAUCAAGAAUCAUCAGGACUUUACUUGACAUGGAAAGAGGAAGCUGUGGUAUGGGCAUCAGCAUGGAAACCCUAAUCAUCAUCAUCAUCAUCAACAACAACAACAACUUCAUCAUCUAUACACUACACAAGAGUGGUGAUGAUGAUGAUGACCAAGUAAAGUCUAAAUGGUAUUAGCAUGGGAAUUUAUUCAGAACCUGGAUGAGAGAAUUGAUUGGCCAUGAACAAUUAGAUUUGAUGAUGAUGGAGUUUAUCACUACUUUUUUUUCCAUAUCCCAGUUCUUCGUGUGCUUCUUUCAUAAUUAUUAUCAUGCGUAUUUGUAUUUUUAUCUCUAUAUGUUCAAGUACUUUGCUUCUCUUCUGCUUUAUGCUUGGGAGUUUGUGUUGCUUUUUUAACUGCUUUUAGAUCAUUGUAUUUGUUUUAAGGUGUGUCCACUAAGUGCCUCUUUUUUCAGUUCCAUACCAUCAUCCCAUUUUCCCUUUUGGAUUGCUUGCUCAAUAUCUUUCUCCUCAACUCUUAGUACUGGGGGAAUUUGUAACAAUAA
rnacentral:misc_RNA from 1 species